GCGUCAGUAGUGUAACGAACAGAGCACGCAUUCUAGGAAAGAGUGAGGUGCGGGUUCUAGUCCCGCCUAACGCG